rnacentral:sRNA from 1 species
AGCAAACCUCUUCGAGGCACAAGGCACAACAGGCUGCUCUGGGAUUCUCUUCAGCCAGUCUUCAUUGCUCAAGUGUCUGAAGCAGCCAUGGCAGAAGUACCUGAACUCACCAGUGAAAUGAUGGCUUACUACAGUGGCAACGAGGAUGACUUGUUCUUUGAAGUCGAUGGCCCUAAACAGAUGAAGUGCUCCUUCCAGGACCUGGACCUUUGCCCUCUGGAUGGCGGCAUCCAGCUACGAAUCUCCCACCAGCACUACAGCAAGGGCUUCAAGCAGGCCGUUUCAGUUGUUGUGGCCAUGGACAAGCUGAGGAAGAUGCUGGUUCCCUGCCCACAGAACUUCCAGGACAAUGACCUGAGCACCUUCUUUCCCUUCAUCUUUGAAGAAGGUACUUAGCCAAGAGCAGGCAGUAGAUCUCCACUUGUGUCUUCUUGGAAGUCAUCAAGCCCCAGCCAACUCAAUUCCCCCAGAGCCAAAGCCCUUUAAAGGUAGAAGGCCCAGUGGGGAGACAAAACAAAGAAGGCUGGAAACCAAAGCAAUCAUCUCUUUAGUGGAAACUAUUCUUAAAGAAGAUCGUGAUGGCUACUGACAUUUGCAACUCCCUCACUCUUUCUCAGGGGCUUACACUUACAUUGUCACCAGAGGUUCGUAACCUCCCUGUGGGCUAGUGUUAGGACCAUCACCAUUUUACCUAAGCAGCUCUGUUUCUCAUCCACAGUAAGCAGUAAUAGACCUGAAGCUGGAACCCAUGUCUAAUAGUGUCAGGUCCAGUGUUCUUAGCCACCCCACUCCCAGCUUCGUCCCUACCGGUGUUGUCAUCAGACUUUGACCAUAUAUGCUCAGGUGUC